UGCUGUGUGGGAAGGAUGGAGGUUUGCUCUAAACACUCAACCAUCAGCGAUAUGUGUACUUCAGACUAACAGCUGUAUUAGGAGGCGUAUGAUUAAAUAUUCUGAACUUGAGUGUGGAGAGAUCUGUGUAAAGUUAUAUGCAGCAUUUUAAGAAUAGUGUAAUUUAGAGCUGCACAGAAUAGCAGACAGGUUUACCAUACUGGGGAGGCGAAGCCUGGCAGACUGUAGAAAGUGAUGGAGGAAUAACCUUGCCCUCUUGAACUGAGACACAGCUGUGAAGUUAUGGGCCUGCACAUUGGCAGGGUUCCAUUUCCAGAAUACAGCUCACUGUCCAUUGCCACCAGCCAUGAGUAGUGGAAUAAGGCAGGCCCUGAUGAAGUCUCCAGAGAACAUUAAAGGACCUUCUAUCUCAGCCAGGAAAGGAAGGAGAAUCUUACGAUAAGAAACUUCAGAAGGAAAGAGAGAAGCUGCAUCCUGAAUUUGGGAACUUAACUCUGCAGGGGGUUCUUUCCUCCUGUGGCAGCAUCUGCAGGAAGUGUCCCCUUGUCUUCCUGUGCAUAUUCCAGACACACUGUAUAGGAGCCUGUUCUGUAGACUACAAUGUGCUGUUUGCAUUUUAUUGCAGAAAGCAAGUCUUUCACCCUGAACCAUAAGUAAGGAAAUAGGUGAGAUACAUGCCUAGCAAAAACCUUGCCCUGUUUCCAGUACAGCCACACAUUUGCCAAAUCAGAUAAAAAGGCAUGUGCCAAAACUAAGAUCCACAAGAAUCAAAAACAGUGUCUCUCUUCCUAGGUCCAUUUCCAAACCCCAUUCUCCAUCAUGGCCUCUGCAGAUUUGACAGCACAUCUGCGCUACACAUAAGUCCCAAGGCUGCUUGUACAAACUGCCAUGGUUCUGCACUGGGGUCUUUCUAGUCCACUUCAGCACCCUGGCUCCAGCAGCCAAGCUCCACCAUGCUCAGAGCCACGCCAUCCCCUUUGGUGGAUUUCAUCUUUAACUUUGAUGCUGAAUGUUUGCUAUUUAAUUGUAUUUACAGCAAAUGGAAAUUCCUCUCUCCCAUA